rnacentral:rRNA from 1 species
CCUACGGGUGGCUGCCGUGGGGAAUAUUGGACAAUGGGCGAAAGCCUGAUCCAGCCAUGCCGCGUGUGUGAAGAAGGCCUUCGGGUUGUAAAGCACUUUCAGUGGGGAAGAAAGCCUUGGGGCUAAUACCCUCGAGGAAGGACAUCACCCACAGAAGAAGCACCGGCUAACUCCGUGCCAGCAGCCGCGGUAAUACGGAGGGUGCGAGCGUUAAUCGGAAUUACUGGGCGUAAAGCGCGCGUAGGCGGUCUGAUAAGCCGGUUGUGAAAGCCCCGGGCUCAACCUGGGAACGGCAUCCGGAACUGUCAGGCUAGAGGGCAGGAGAGGAAGGUAGAAUUCCCGGUGUAGCGGUGAAAUGCGUAGAGAUCGGGAGGAAUACCAGUGGCGAAGGCGGCCUUCUGGACUGACACUGACGCUGAGGUGCGAAAGCGUGGGUAGCAAACAGGAUUAGAUCCCCCUGUAGUC